UACGGGGGGGGCAAGCGUUGUUCGGAAUUACUGGGCGUAAAGGGCGCGUAGGCGGCGCGGUAAGUCACUUGUGAAAUCUCUGAGCUUAACUCAGAACGGCCAAGUGAUACUGCAGUGCUAGAGUGUGGAAGGGGCAAUCGGAAUUCCAGGUGUAGCGGUGAAAUGCGUAGAUAUCUGGAGGAACACCGGUGGCGAAGGCGGGUUGCUGGGCCCGAC
rnacentral:rRNA from 1 species